AAUAAAACGUUGAGCGAAAGAGUAAUUUUUCAUAGUAUGAAGAGAGUUUGCGGUUGGUGUGAGCAAGUAACUAUGAUUGAUGAACCACAUUCGCGAGUGAGUGAUUGAAUUGAGUAGGUCAUGCCGGUAAUGCCCGUUAUUGCAUACAGUCUUUGACUGAUUGAGAUGUUGACAGCGAUGGCAACAUGACCAAGAGGUGGUACCGCGAUAAACGCCCUCUGAAUACUAAUUGUAUUUGGAGGGUGUUUUUGUUUAGUGGUAGAUUGACUGAUUGAGAAGUUUUGUGUGAACAAAACUUAAAUUUGGGGUGGCACCACGCAUUAGCGUCCUCUUA
rnacentral:ncRNA from 1 species